rnacentral:rRNA from 1 species
GACAGAGGGUGCAAACGUUGCUCGGAAUCACUGGGCGUAAAGGGCGUGUAGGCGGGAAGGAAAGUCAGAUGUGAAAUCCCCAGGCUCAACCUGGGAACUGCAUUUGAAACUCCCUUUCUUGAGUACCGGAGAGGAAAGUGGAAUUCCUGGUGUAGAGGUGAAAAUUCGUAGAUAUCAGGAGGAACACCAGUGGCGAAAGGCGGCUUUUCUG